AGACAAGUAAUGCAAUGAUUUGAUGACAAUCAAAUUGGAAUAUCAUCUCUCUUGCUUCAUAUGGUGCAUUUUCUCUUCUCUUGAAACAUGGGAAUUGUUUGCCAAGGAGUCAAUCAGUUAUUUCUUCUUUGUCAUUUUGACCCGAUGGAGGUUAAGAACAGUUAACUGUGCAACAUGAAGCCUCUCAUUAAUACAGGCCAAAUAUAGCACUUCCCCACACUCCCUCAACUACAAUCUUAAUCUUGCCCUGGAGGACCAAUUUUGCUGGUAAUUGAAGCCUGUUUUCCUCUGGAGAAGAUCAAUUUAG